rnacentral:lncRNA from 1 species
UCAUCCCCUUCAACUUGUCCUUUCCAUUACUGAGGACUCAGGCUGCGGUGGCUCACACCUUUCACCCCAGCAUUUGGCACGUGGAGGCAAGAUCAUCAGGACCCCUGGGAUGACCUGGGAGCCACCCAGGAAAUAUCCAUAUUCUGAGGCUAUCGACUGACAACCUGAAUUCCACUUUGUCUUGUUAAGUCACACUGUCUGUAAAAUAAUCUUGUUCCAGCCCGAGAAAAGCAGCCGCCACCUUCAGGAUCUUAGGGUUACUACUUGCAAGCCACCGUGAAGAUGGGGCUUGCAGUCUGUUCACGUUCACUCAUAGAAGGCGGGGUUGUUCUUGAAGCCUCAACCAAGAACCAGCCAGUUCUCCCAGCCCUGUGUUUACAAUUCUGCUCAAAUUUACAGGCACACCAGCUGGAAGGUUAAUUGAAGAGAGGUUCCGGUGUGGGUAUUUAGGGGGCGACGGGAGGCCAUCAUCUGUGCAGAACUUGCCGAACUGCUGCUUUGGAGUCACCCGCACUCCACAGUUAAGCCCAUCACACUCAUUGAUUCCCGAGAGGUUGAAUAUCGUUGGCAUUUAAAGACUUUCUAAAACAACAAAAGAUAACGCAGGGAAGAAACCAGGCUCGUUUGAAGAAACGCAUGGCCUUAUCACCGGGAACUGCGAAAGGGAGCAGAGAGUCCUUCAAAUGCAAAGGAGAAGCCGCAAUAUUAACCUGCAUCACAGCCCUGCACUC